CAGCAGCCGCGGUAAUACGAAGGGUGCAAGCGUUAAUCGGAAUUACUGGGCGUAAAGCGUGCGUAGGCGGUUUGUUAAGUCUGUUGUGAAAUCCCCGGGCUCAACCUGGGAAUGGCAAUGGAUACUGGCAAGCUAGAGUAUGUCAGAGGAUGGUGGAAUUCCCGGUGUAGCGGUGAAAUGCGUAGAGAUCGGGAGGAACAUCAGUGGCGAAGGCGGCCAUCUGGGACAACACUGACGCUGAGGCACGAAAGCGUGGGGAGCAAGCAGGAUUAGAUACCCCGGUAGUCCCUGUCUCUUAUAC
rnacentral:rRNA from 1 species